GCGCCCGUAGCUCAACGGAUAGAGCAUCUGACUACGGAUCAGAAGGUUGGGGGUUCGAGUCCCUCCGGGCGCA
rfam:Corynebacterium callunae DSM 20147, complete genome.